GAUGAACGCUGGCGGCGUGCCUAAUACAUGCAAGUCGAGCGAACAGACGAGGAGCUUGCUCCUCUGACGUUAGCGGCGGACGGGUGAGUAACACGUGGAUAACCUACCUAUAAGACUGGGAUAACUUCGGGAAACCGGAGCUAAUACCGGAUAAUAUAUUAAACCGCAUGGUUCAAUAGUGAAAGACGGUUUUGCUGUCACUUAUAGAUGGAUCCGCGCCGCAUUAGCUAGUUGGUAAGGUAACGGCUUACCAAGGCGACGAUGCGUAGCCGACCUGAGAGGGUGAGCGGCCACACUGGAACUGAGACACGGUCCAGACUCCUACGGGAGGCAGCAGUAGGGAAUCUUCCGCAAUGGGCGAAAGCCUGACGGAGCAACGCCGCGUGAGUGAUGAAGGUCUUCGGAUCGUAAAACUCUGUUAUUAGGGAAGAACAAAUGUGUAAGUAACUAUGCACGUCUUGACGGUACCUAAUCAGAAAGCCACGGCUAACUACGUG
rnacentral:rRNA from 1 species